GUCAUCACGCGAUCUCAUUGAACGAAUUAGUAUAUAAGGACAGUCGCGGUCCAUCGAAAAAUCAUCAGUCUGCACAUCAGUCAACCUGAGAAAUAUUCUCCACUGAAAAAGCCAACGAGUUCCAGAUAGGAAACACUAAAAAUGGCCAAAUACUUGUCGUUGACUAUUUUGUUGGUUAUUGGAUUGGUGGCUGCCUCGUUGAGCUCUCCAGUUGCUUCCGGUUCCGAUCAGGAUCAACUUCCUGAAACCGAUAUGGACGGCAGUGAAUUCUUCCAUUCGCCAUACCACCGGGCUGUUGGCGCUGGAUUCGGUUACGACUUCGGCUACCCUUUGAACCUGCCUUACGGUGGACCCGGAUUUGGUGCUCUGCCCGGCGUUUACCCGGGGGUCCACCCAGGUGUCAUCCCGCAGCACCCAUUUUUCUAUCACAAAUGAGUCAACGUCCAUUGACUUGAACCGACCAACAAAACAAAAAAAUGGUUUUUUAGAUUUGAAAUUCAUCGUCGACUUCCGCACCCAUUUUAUUACAAUAUUCAUAUACCAUCCCACUCACUUUUUGUUUCGAAAUGGCAUACCGUAAUAUCCUUCUUUUCCGUUCUUUGCAAUCCUUAUAUACGCCUCGUUAAUAAUCAACCACGAUUUCAAAUAAUACAAUUUCGGCAUUA